rnacentral:rRNA from 1 species
UUCGCAAUGCCCGAAAGGGUGACGAAGCGACGCCGCGUGCGGGAAGAGGGCCUUCGGGUUGUAAACCGCUGUCGGGAGUUAAGAAAUGUAAGGAUGUUAAUAGCAUCUUUGCUUGACUAAGGCUCCGGAGGAAGCCACGGCUAACUCUGUGCCAGCAGCCGCGGUAAUACAGAGGCGGCAAGCGUUGUUCGGAAUUAUUGGGCGUAAAGAGCACGUAGGCGGCUAUGUAAGUCGGUUGUGAAAGCCUUCCGCUCAACGGGAGAACAGCAUCCGAUACUGCAUGGCUUGAGUGCGGGAGGGGAGAGUGGAACUUCUGGUGGAGCGGUGAAAUGCGUAGAUAUCAGAAGGAACGCCGGCGGCGAAAGCGGCUCUCUGGCCCAUAACUGACGCUGAGUGUGCGAAAGCUAGGGGAGCAAACGGGAUUAGAUACCCCGGUAGUCCUAGCCGUAAACGAUGGGCACUAAGUAGAGGGGUUUU